rnacentral:lncRNA from 1 species
GUGACAAUUUCAAAUUGAAAAAAGAAGAAUAUGGAGGACCAACACUUCAACUACAAUAUAUGGGCUAUCUCCAAGAUCAUGACGCAACACAAUUUUUAUCAGACUACUCACAACAUCACAAGCUAAAUGUAGAGAUGGGCCACAAGAAAAUGUUAUAGCAGAAACCCAACCAAGUUGUUGUUGACCCUUAAUCAAAACCCCUUUCCCCUAAGUGAUUAGAGAAACAAAAUACAACCCCU